rnacentral:siRNA from 1 species
CUUAAAAGCCUAAGUAGUGUUUC